AGCUCUCAAGUUGUACUUCUUUUUUUAGUCGACAGUUAUGGUGACCAACGAAGCGACCCAGAGUGGACUUCCUUCCUUCAACUGGACUCCACAAGGAACUGGAGCUUUGGUACCAGCAGUGGCCCCUUGAGCCCAUCUGCCUCCUCGGGGAGGGGGCCACAUGUCAAAGAAGUGAGGACUUAAAUCCUACAGUUGCAAGGAACUGAAUUCUGCCAAGAAUAAGCUUGGAAAACGACUCUUCCCCAGAGCCUCCAAUGAGAAUUAAGCUUGGCCAUAACCCUGAUUGCAUCCUUGUGGCAACUUCAGCAGAGAGCCCUGUCCAGCCAUGCUGGACCUCCAUACAGAAUUUGUGCUUGAAUUAAAUCCGUUUUAACCAAAGAAGGCAUUUGAACAUGGAGUAAAAUUGGCAUGACUGACUGUAUCCUGACCCUAUCAAGCAUGGAAUCACAACUAACAACAUACAUGAAACAUGAUCAAAAACCCUGGAGGCUUAAGACAGCAACUCCAUUGACUCCAACAGGCACUUCAACAGAUUUUAACAGAUGUGAGAUGAAUGACACAAAAUAAAUAAAACCUAAUGUGAAUAAUCAGCCACAAGAUGGCAUUUGAAUACUAAUGUAUUUAAAGUUUGGGGCAGUAACUUAAACACAUGGUUAUUUUAAUCUUUUCCUUUCCCUGGUCACUGUUUCUGAAAUUGCCAUGUAAGAAGAUCACAACUUUAUUUUCUCUAUAGCCUAAGUCAUAAACAUUUAUUUAUCAGCUUACUUUUUAUCUCUUGUGAUGGUUGAUUUUAUGUGUCAAUUUCACUGGGUCAUGAGGUGCUCAAAUGUUUGGUCAUUUUCUGUGUGUUUCUGUGGGGGUAUUUUUAGAUGAGAUUAACAUUAAAUUGGUAGACUUAAGAAAGCAGAUUGCUCUUUAUAACAUGGGUGGGCCUCAUCCAAUCAGUUGAAGACCCUAACAAGGUUGAUCCUUCAUUACUUUUUUUUUCCCCCUUCAUUACUUAAGAGAGAAUUCUCCUCUUUGAUGACCUCAAAACUGGAACAGAAGUUCUUCCUGGUUCUAGAGCUGCCUAUUGGUCUUCAGAUUCAAACCAGGACAUUGGCUCUGCAGAUUUUAGACUUGCAGUCUCCAUAAUUCCAUAGGCCAAUACUUAAUUAUCUAUCUAUCAGCUACCAUAUUGGUUCUGCUUUUCUGAAGAGUACUACUAUAUCUCUCAAUUUAUUGUUAAUUAACUGCCCACUAGAGUAGAAGUUCCAUAAAGGCAAUAACUUUGUCUUGUGCUAUUAUAUUUCUAAUGUCCAGACCAGGUCAUAAAAAUUAUGCAGACAACCAUUUGUUGAGUGAAAGCAUCGUGGCAGGGGAGCAAUGAUGCAUGUAGAUGUUUUGAGGGUGGCACUGAAGGGGUACAAAUAUGUCAGCUUUAGAAAAUGGUAUCUUUGGGUGGAUGUUGAAAUCAUGCCACAGUGAUAUGAAAAAUAAAAUG